CUCGGCUUGGAAGGGCACCAGCGGAGGGUGGCUCGCUCGGUACCCAAGGACGGUGCGACCGAACCGGCACGCCGAGACCAGCGAGCGGCACCGGCUCCGCGGACGUUCCGUUUACGAGACGUCGCUCAUGGCGAACCGGCGAGCGGCCGCCAAGAAAGCAGACGAGAGGAUGAAUGAGAAGAAAUGCUCGUGGGCGUCCUACAUGACAAAUUCCCCCACCGUGAUCGUGAUGAUCGGGCUGCCCGCCCGAGGGAAGACGUACGUGUCCAAGAAGCUCACGCGCUACCUCAACUGGAUUGGCGUCCCCACCAAAGUCUUCAACCUGGGCGUGUACCGCCGAGAGGCCGUCCGAGCCUACAAGUCCUACGACUUCUUCCGCCACGACAACGAGGAGGCCAUGAAGAUCAGGAAGCAGUGUGCGCUGGUGGCCCUGCAGGAUGUGAAGGUGUACCUGACAGACGAGGCCGGUCAGAUCGCUGUUUUCGACGCAACCAACACGACAAGAGAGCGCCGAGACCUCAUUCAAGCGUUUGCGAAGGAGAACGCGUUCAAGCUGUUCUUUGUGGAGUCGGUGUGUGACGACCCAGAAGUCAUUGCUGCGAAUAUCAUGGAAGUCAAGGUGUCCAGUCCGGACUACCCCGAAAGGCACCGAGAGCGAGUCAUGGAUGACUUCCUGAAACGGAUCGAGUGCUACAAGGUGACUUACCAACCGUUGGAUCCUGAUGAUUAUGACAAGGACCUGUCUUUCAUUAAGGUGAUGAACGUGGGCCGCCGCUUUCUGGUGAACCGGGUACAGGACUACAUCCAGAGCAAGAUCGUCUACUAUCUCAUGAACAUCCACGUGCACUCGCACUCCAUCUACCUGUGUCGCCAUGGCGAGAGCGACCACAACAUCGAGGGCCGCAUCGGAGGGGAUUCAGAACUAUCUCCCCGUGGGAAACAGUUCGCCCGUGCGCUUCGAAAGUUCAUCGAGGAGCACGAACUGUCAGAUUUGAAGGUGUGGACGAGCCAGCUGAGACGCACCAUACAGACAGCGGAGGAGCUGGCCGUCCCCUACGAACAGUGGAAGAUACUCAACGAGAUUGACGCGGGCGUGUGCGAGGAGAUGACCUACGAGAUGAUCCAGAGGGCGUUCCCGGAGGAGUUUGCGUUGAGGGACAAGGACAAAUAUCACUAUCGUUACCCCGGCGGGGAGUCGUACCAGGACCUGGUCCAGCGUCUGGAGCCGGUCAUCAUGGAGCUGGAGAGACAAGGCAACGUGCUGGUGGUCUGCCACCAGGCGGUCAUGCGCUGUCUGCUUGCUUACUUCCUGGACAAAAGUGCAGAAGAUCUUCCCUACAUGAAAUGUCCGCUCCACACCGUCCUCAAGCUCACCCCGGUGGCGUAUGGUUGUAAAGUGGAAAUGUUUUAUCUCAAUGUGGAGGCAGUGAACACGCAUCGCGACCGACCACUUGCCGGAUCUCGUUUGUUGGGGGCCACAACGAGGCUGCCGGUGGGCCGGACGCGGCCCGGGCGGGCGCCCACUGAGUACCCCUGAUGUAAGAGGAUGGGACCAUUCCGUUUUUUUCUGGGAUAGGGUGAAGGAGAACAUAAAUUGCUCACAUAGCCUUGCAUAGGAAGCGUCUGUUUGGCUCCCUGUGCGAAGGAAUCGACUUGGACGACCCCGAAGAAACGAGCGGCUGCGUCCGCUUCUGAGUGAACGUAAAGAAAGACGCUUGCGCAAAAUGUGUAUACUGGUGCCUUGACUCCAAAACAGUAGGCACGCCUGCACAAUCCAACGAAACUAAAGCACAGUUUGAGAAAUCCCUCGCAAGCUGAGAUUCAAACCCAGAACCUUUCAAGUGUGAGGCAGACAUUUUUGCCCUGGCAUGUAUACCCAUAAAUAUACAGAUAUGCCAAAUGAAGCAUUCGAUGAAAACCUCGUGGUCAUACUCACCAAGCACAUCGGCAAUAUCAGUAUUUGUGUCAUAUCUUUGUCUCUGCAUGCUUUUUGCUCAGAAGAUGAUCUCGGUGUUAUAAAUACUUUGUGCAACAUGUUCCAAAGAUAGAAAAGCAUUGGUGUUAAUCCAGCGUGUAACAUUUUAAUCUGCUGAUCAACAUCAUAGCCCUUCAUUGAACUUUUUUUGAAUAGAAUAAAAAUACAGUCAAGGACAAAAAUGAUUGGCCCACCCUUGUUUCUUGGAUUUAUUGCUUGCUUGGUACAACUAAAGGUACAUUUGUUGACAAGAAAAAUAGAUCAUAAGAGUUGAAUUUAAAAGCUGUGGAAUCACUCAGGGGCAUUUUUGUCGUGUCCAUUGUAAUGGUACAAGGCAUUAAAACGAACAAGAAAUUGAAGAAACAAGGGGGGUGGUCUAAUAUUUUCUUCUAUUUCUACAUAUUUACUGAAGAAAGUUCCAAGUAUUCAAAAAAACAUAUUUCCUGUGCCUAAAAUGUAUUAAAUUAGUGUAAUAUAAACUAGUGUUCUUAAUUGUUAUGCCGCAUUUAUUUACUGUGGGCUUGCUAUUUAAUUAAGAAACACUUGUGUUCAUGUCCCCAUUUUUAAAUACAGUUAUCUAUAUAUUCUGACAAUUCUAUGCAGGUUUUUCAUUGAAUGAAAGAAUAAUCGCGAAAGACGGUGUGGUCUGUUGGAAGCAGAUACUCGUGCUUUUGAUAAAAGGGAAUCAAUCUGAAAAUAUUAACUUUACUGUAUUGUCGAACUUGCUUGUACUUGCACGUCUUUUGGUCAUAUUUUGA